CACUUCCAAGUGAAACAGUUAAUAAUAAAUACCUACAUUUGUUACAAGUAUAAAGCAAAGCUUUCAGACAUUCUUUUUAAAAAUUGGGUAAUUUUCUUGAUAGCUCUAUGAGUUAUGUAAGCCAUGGUAAGCUGUAAAAAUUACAGUCUAAAUAAUGUCUCAGUGUUCCAAAAACAUUUUGCUGUAGGCUAGAUGGAAGUUCCCUUAGUAAACAACUAUAAACAGCUAAAUCUUUAUUCCUCCACAGGCCAUCUUGCCUCUCAAACUCCAAAAUCUAUAUUUGCAUACUUGUGCCUACUGACAAAUGCUUUUUAUGUGCCUCUUUGUGGUCUGACAGGGCAAAGUUGUCAAAUAUUCUUGGUUUAAUACAUAUAGUGCUACUCGAUCAAAAUAAAAUAGGUGAGAAGGGAACUUUAUGUUGCACAAAUGCAGAAGUUACACGCAUUUUCAAUAAUAAAAUCCCUGCCUUGUGCUUAGCCAUUAACAAAAGGAAAGGGGUGACCACACAUAGCCACUGAAUUGGGCUGAGAGAGGCUGAUGCACUGUCAGCUGCCAGAAGUCAAUUUUAAAACUUAGGCUUUGAUAAAUCCUAGUUAAGGAUAGCUACAUUUUUUUGAAACAUCAGCACUACAGAAGGAUAAAGAGGCAAACUAAUAGCACUGCAGAGUAUUUCCUUUCCUAUCUCCCACUCUCAAAGUAUUGGACCGUCUCUGUCUUUACAGGACAUUAAGUGACAGAUGUUCCUGGUUUGAAAAAGACGACUUAAAGGAGUGUGAAAAAACAUGGAUUCUGUUACUGAAAGGCAUCAAUGAAGACUUAGAAUGCACAGACUGGCAAUCCGUGCCCAGUUUUCCGGAGUUCUGUGGAAAGAGUUCCAAGGAAGAGAGUCUACAGAAACAAGAAGUCUUUACAAUUGGAAUGAAAGACUUCCAGUGGGUAUCGUUCCCAUCUUUUUGCAAAGAACAAUGUCUAAAAUCAAAGAAUCUUAGCGUGGACCAGCUAACAGAGAGCCCGACAGACCAUUUACAGAAAGGACAGGACCAAGCAGAUAAAUUGAAAAGUUUACUUUCUACAGCUGAAAAAACAUGCUGUGUAGCUAUUACAGAUCAAGCCAAAAAUAUGGUUGGGGAAGACACAGAAGUUCUCUCAAACCCAGAGGUAAGUCCCAAAUCACAUCAACUCAUGCAACCCAGCUCUACGCAUAACUCGGCAUUGUUGCAAAGCUCUGCAGAAGCUUUUAGCUUUCAACAGCAGUGCAGAGGGACUGUACAGAGCAGCUGGGAAAACAGAAAAGAAAAUGAUAGGGAAGAGCUUCAAAUACAAACACAUGAAGGGAUUAUUUCAUUUGGUGAGGCUGGAUACGUGCCUGCAGAAGAGCAGCCGCCUCUUGCGAGCGUACCUGGAACUGAAAGCUGCAAGAAAAUGGAAAAUCCAAGUGAAGCAUCUUCAACUCUUGAGAGCUGUCCAAUGUGUCAGAUGGAUUUCAGCAGAACACUGUCACAGCUGGAUAUUGACGGGCACCUUGCGAGGUGCUUGUCUGAAAGCACAGAUGAUGUCGUGUGGUAAAUCAGAAGAACGAAGAGCGAAGGAAUGAGGCCAAGGAUGAACCUUUCUCCAAGGAAAAGGAACAGCGUGUCAGGGAAGCACACCCUUGUCUCAAACUUGCUUAAGGAUCACAAGCCAGUAACUCAACAGAAGGUCAAGUGCCACCUGCACGUUCAGGAUCUUUUUGCUUUAAAUCCUCUCCAGUGCCUGUGAAGGAGUUCUAGUUCUGAAAAUGGUGCUACAGGACGUCCCAGAGACCCCCAGGGAAAUCAGUCUUGGCCCUCCUGCAAUCUGGGUAUUUCUGAAAAGAUGUCCUGCUGUAAAUCCCCGAUGUUCUGUCUGAUGCACCACAGUUGUUCAAAAUCUCUAAGCGUAGAAGAAAGCAGCUGAAUAAAAGUUAACUAUUAUUUAAACUUAUCCA
ensembl:lncRNA